AACUUUAAUUAAAAAAUAGAUUCAGAGAAGGAAGGAGGGAGCAUUUUGCCCUACUGCCAAAACUUCUCCUGAAUGAAAUUCUUAAAAUUUCACCCGCUUAAGAGAAAGUUGAGCAGCUUAAUUCUAGAAAUAGGUCUUAUUUCUGGGGAAGAAUUGCAAAAUUCUUUACUGUACUCCCAAACCCACGAGCAAAAAUGGACUGAUUCUUCCCUCUCCAUUGCCUGCACCCUGAAAAAUUAUUUGGAAUUUUUUUUUUUAAUCAGCACAUUGUUCAAAAACAUCCCUCCAUCUCCCUCACCUACACAUUGAAAAGUCAUCUAUUUUUAAAUCAGCAAUAGACUGGUCUCCAUUGAAUAUAAAAAUUAUUUCCCCACUGGCAACUCAAAACCUUGGGAAAAAAUGAAUGCUAAAUUAUUUUUUCCUUUGCUGCUUCAUUGUGCUUCUCCUUUCCCAUUUGGUGGAAAGAAUGUGAAUUCUUUACAUUGUAAAAUUUAAAAAAAAAAAGUUUAGGGUGAACCAUUCAUCAAAGCCGUUCUGCAUUUCGGAAAAUUACAGAAGAGGGGAGGCAUCGUUUAUUUAUUAAAUUUUUAUGCUGCCCAGUGUCGCUACCUCCAUCAGAAGGCUGGCGUACAAAAUUUAAUAAACAAAGAAUACAUAUAUCAUUUUAAUGUAAUCCAGAGAAAACUCUGGGAAAUGGGAUCUGGGCUGUGGGAUGGGAACAGAUAUCCUUCCUUUUAAAUAAUUCCCAAAAUUAGAAUUUUGAGAACAAAAAUGGAUAUAACUUUUAGUUAUAUC